rnacentral:rRNA from 1 species
UACGAAGGGGGCUAGCGUUGCUCGGAAUCACUGGGCGUAAAGGGGGCGUAGGCGGGUCUUUAAGUCAGGGGUGAAAUCCUGGAGCUCAACUCCAGAACUGCCUUUGAUACUGAAGAUCUUGAGUUCGGGAGAGGUGAGUGGAACUGCGAGUGUAGAGGUGAAAUUCGUAGAUAUUCGCAAGAACACCAGUGGCGAAGGCGGCUCACUGGCCCGAUACUGACGCUGAUGCACGAAAGCGUGGGGAGCAAACAGG